GAGUAUUAAACAAUGUAUACUAUAAUAGGCAGAGAACUAAACAAUGUAUACUAUAAUAAGCAGAGAACUAAACAAUGUAUUCUAUAAUAGGCAGAGAAUUAAACAAUGUAUACUAUAAUAGGCAGAGAACUAAACAAUGUAUACUAUAAUAGGCCGAGAACUAAACAAUGUAUACUAUAGUAGGCAGAGAACUAAACAAAUGUAUACUAUAAUAGGCAGAGAAUUAAACAAUGUAUUCUAUAAUAGGCAGAGAACUAAACAAUGUAUACUAUAAUAGGCAGAGAAUUAAACAAUGUAUACUAUAAUAGGCAGAGAAUUAAACAAUGUAUUCUAUAAUAGGCAGAGAACUAAACAAUGUAUUCUAUAAUAGGCCGAGAAUUAAACAAUGUAUACUAUAAUAGGCAGAGAACUAAACAAUGUAUACUAUAAUAGGCAGAGAACUAAACAAUGUAUAAUAUAAUAGGCAGAGAA